GUUUUACCGUCGGGAGAGAACCAAUCCCUCGCUAGCCCGGCCUCGUCUCCCGUCUCCAGUCGCAGCCGCCGCCGCACCCCAAUCCAACCCCGCCGCCGGCGAUCUCCUCGCCCCCCUGCGCCGGCGCCCCCAACCUUCUAUUCCUCUCCCAAGGGAAUCCCAAGGGAAGGGAAGGCAGGGGAAGGGAAGGGAAGGGAGAGGGAGCGCCCAGAUCCACGACGGCAUCUGCACUUCGCCCCCGCCGCUGCAUCCCUUCGCCGGUGCCCUCCCAGUUCAAAGCCGCCACCGCUUUGCUUCAUGAACCGGCGACGAUCUACUUGUGGAGUCGCACGACGAUCCCUUCCCGGAUCCGCCGCCGAUCACUUUCAGGAUCCGCCACGGAUCACUUCCAGGAUCCGCCGCCGACCACUUCUAGGAUCCGCCGCGUACCGCCUACAGGAUCCGCCGCCGAUCACUUCAAGGUUCCGCCGCGUACCGCCUAUAGGAUCCGCCCGUUCGUGGGGCAGCUAGCUUUGCUGAUGCAUAUGCCGACAUGAUAAACAAGAUAUGCAUGCAUAUUUUAAUUUUAUUUGGAGAUAAGAUAUAUAUGCGAUACUAAUUGCUAAGUCGAGGAAGCAAGAGAUCGGGACAAAGGAGUUCUGAAGAAGAAGAUUCAUCUACAGAAUAUAUAAUAUGCAUUGAAGAAAACAGAGAUUCAUCUUGGUGAGCACUAACCGUUCAUUAUAGAUUGUUGGCGAGAUAAGUUGCUCCUAUGACUAAAAUUGUGCCGGCGCUCUGAUUUACUACUGGGUGCCCUUUCUAGAGGUAAAUUUUAUUAUUAUUUUGGUCGUGUACGUGUGUGGGGGGAGGGUGUCUUGAUUGAUUCACUAACUGUUCUAGCUUUGACGUUGUAUGUCAUCAGCUUGGGUUUGUUCCAUCAGACUUUUCACACAUUAUAUGACUUCGUUAGAAUUCAGGUUGCGUUCUGUCUUUUACUUUAGAAAAAUAGCGAGUGAACCUUUUUUGAAAUUCGGUCUGCCACAUAGAGAGGAACUCAUUGGCUCCCCGGCACCAUCGAGCACUGAGGUUGACCAAACAAGUGUGUGAACAUUUAUGAGAUUUGUAAUUUGAAAACUAUAUAAAGCCAAAUAACUAUGAACACACCCUUGGAAUAAAUGUGAAAGGAGAAUCUGCGGUCUUACCGGAAAAAAUUGAAACAUUAGCUAGGAUUUGUUGGUUAGAUUCAUGUUGCUCCAUCCAUUUACUAUCAGUUCCUUUCAUAUAUUGCUUCCAUCAGAACAUGUUGACCUGAUUGUCCAUGGUUACACUCAUCUUCAAAUGGCACAACUUGUUUUGCUGCCACAUCUUCUCUUACCAUACGAUGAAUAGGUACUAUGUUCCAUCCCUCUCUUAUUUCACACUGCAUUAACAAUGUUUUUUCAGUGUGUCGAUUUGCCUAACUAUGCCUUGUUGAUUACUGAUUUUGUUACUAAUGUGUACACAAACCCUGCCUAAUUAAUUUAGUCCACUAUAUCUAACCAUAUGAAAGUGAAAGUUGAUUCUGACUACUUGCCUGGUGGUGCGGUACAUUACCUCUUUUUCAAAUUAUGAGAGCGGAACGACAGCGUUGGCGUGGACGACUCGGAGCUCAACCCCGUCAAGGGCCGCGAGCAGGAGCGGCUUUCUUUUCAACAAGAAGAUGACCAAGGUCCAAGGGCGCCGCCAGCCACUUUGUCGUUGUCAUCGAAGAGUCCAAGAUUGUCCCCGCAUCGGUUGCAUUGGUGCCGAUCAGGUGCUAAUCUGAAUCCUUGUCCAAUUGCAAGUGGCCUAUAAAAAACCCUGGGUUGAAUGCACAUUACCAUCACACUGCCAUGUAAUUUUUGUUGGUACACAAUCAUGUUGCUGCAGUUCUAUUUAUAGACUUUUUGGUCAUUUUGUCUUUGUCUUUGUCCAUGGUCAGAUCAUGUUUUUAAGCUUGAUUGUUAUGAGUCAGUAAGGUGAGAAUGAGCGGUAAUGGUUUAACUAAUCAUCCCAUCAUGUUUUUAGUAUCACUAAUUUAUUUAUGCUAAUUCUUUCAACAUUCUUGCCGUUGAUGAUUCUAAAAGGUAAAGAGAAAUGUUAAAGAAUUCAUCUUCUGCUAUGGCACGCAACCCCGCCGGCUCCAUGGAUGUCUACGCAGUCAUCGUCCUUAACUGCUGUCUAGCGUCUGUGACCUCUGUUGGCCUCAUCAUGGUUCCUUCACCCUCCAGCUGCUCACGUGAUUCUCUGUUCGUCGCAGGUCCAGGUCUGCGCGGUUGGGGCGUCAAUCACGUGUUCAGCGGCAUGUCAGAGCAACUCUCUGGCCAGAACCCUGACUAUGUGCGCUUCAGGUUGUCUCUUACUGCUGCUUAUGCAUCACUGAAGAUCAGUUGCUUAUGCAUCCCUGAAGAUCAGUUAGAUGUAUGAUUAUCUGGAUAUUCCCUAUAUACUUUAUCUAAAAAUAAGGAUAGCCAUUUGUUUCACCUUUUGCAGUUCAUCGUAAUAGCAUAUGAAAAAAAUGACAACUUGCCAAGUUACAGUUCUGAAAUAUUUCCUUUUGUAGCAUACGUGCCAGCAAGAUGGUGAACUAGAUUCAGAUUCGAUACUCCUCUUUUCCGUGAAAUAUUUCCUCUGCAUUUUUAUUUGUCAUUUAUUUAUGUUUUGAUGCUGGUGUUGCAAGGUUCAGCGAUUGCUUCAACAAUGUAGGAAUUUCUUGUGGUCUAGAAUGGGAAGCAUCAGUAAAAAUCACUAAUUUAAGUUCAUAAUGCCUGUGAAACGAUAUGUGGGAGAGUAUAUUGAUUUAUUUUUUGAGGGAAGAAAAUUAUAUAAUUUAAUCACAAUGUACACGAUCAUUUUACCUUUACUAUGGCAUAUCAAGCAAGCACGAUAAGAAAUGAAUCUAUAUACUCUAAUAUUCUUGGAAGGUUCAUAUGUCAGUCAGGCCUCUUUGCUCUUUUUAUGUUAGAAGGAAAGCAAGUGACUUAUUUGGAGGUAAUCUCAUAGAUAUGUGUUCGUUAUCAGUUUCAAGUUACUGUACGGAUUGAUAAUGGUCAAAACAUUGUUGGAUAAAUCUAUUUCCAUUGAAUUAACAGAUUUGUUCCAUUGUGUGCAUUCAAAUAUUUAGAGUAGUAUGCAUGCAAAAAUGUCUUACAUCUACAUAUAACCAGUCAAUCACUACUUUGCACUAUAUGCUAUGAAAAAAAUCAUGUGAGCAAACUUAAGUAGUAACCUUAUAUUCCUAUGCAUUGAAAAUGGUCUUAGGUACCUCCAGUUUCAGUAUGAUCACAUAUUGAGUGCACUGUAAAUGCUUCUACUAUUGCAAGUUCAACUUGAGUCUUCACUUCCGUAGAAAUGUAACUGAUUCGCUUCUUGAUGAGUUUUUAGCUCGCUGAUUUAAAUCCAUAUAGCUUGCGAGGUGCUGUCAUAGUCUUAUGCGGCAUUUCAUCUACAUUUUAUUAAAUGUCAUUCCCUCAUGGAAAUAUAGUGCAAAGGAAUUAAAUUUUAGAAACAACUAUUGGUUGCUGUUGUUUGUCAAUUCUAUUUAAUCCUUCACAAUUUUUAAAUAGUUUAUCUUGUGCUUGCCUAACUGUCUGUCUGGAUAUAUAUACAAUUCUUUGAAAUUUAUUCUUAAUAAUUUCUCAAAUACAAAAUCUAGGCCAAAGCUAUGCUUAGAAACUACUAAUAAUCCACUUGAUCAUCUCAAGUAACAAACUACUGACUAAUUAGCAAUGCAUCCACAAAAGCAAAACUUGUUCAUCUCAAUAGAACCCCUAAUUACCAUAUUUAUUUAGAAACGGUUAUAUCUUAACCCCAAGCCGUUUCCAACAAAGCAAAUAUCAUUGCAUUUUAUUUCUGUUGGUACUUUCGAUAAGUGUGGAUGGACUUCAUAAUUGUCACGAGGCAGCUGGUAAAAGCAGGGGCUCUAAUCAACAACAAAGAUCUUGUAAUGGUUUCCUGUUGGUUUACCUGGUGGGAGUGUGGAAGCAUUUUCAUGAUAAAAAAAGGGACCGCCUUGUAGACUUAUCGAUGAGCAUGAGGACUAUAGUUGCAAACUCCAUUGCUCUGGGAGGAUCAAGCACCGGUGCCAAGUUCAUAACUGGACUUGACCUGCGUCCAGCAGUGUGAACCUCAACAAGGACACUUCGUUUCAUAUUGAUGGAGGCAACGAGGCCCUGUGGGCUAUUCUUCGUGACUCAUUUGGGGGCUUCGUUGUUGCUUCAUGCAGGUAGAAGUAAAAAAGAAUUGGACAUCCACUUCCUUGUGAUGGAGAGACUCAAUGAAAAUUAUGCAAGCCAUGAAGAACCCAUCAGAGUACCACAGUUCAGGGGCGGUUGUCACUUAUUGCUGGAAUUUGAUGACAAACUUUGGCAGGGCGAGGAUUAUGCAUGCAGUGUGGGCGAAAAGCAAAUGUAGCUUCCAUGAACUUGCUCGUUUUUUUAUUGAGAAGGCCUAGGAGGUUUUGCGGGAUCAUCCCCCUUAUUUACCGGUUCCAGUUCUUGUAAAGAAUAUGGUAAUAAUUCAAACAAAGUAGCCAAAGUAAAAAAACAAUAAGGAUCUUUGGUUGUUUGAAAAAACACUAAGGGUUUGCACAUUUGUUCUUGUAUUCACCAUGAAGUGAAAUGUACCACAAAGGGACAUUUUAACUUGUUUUAUUGAGAGGGCGUGAGAGGUCUAGAGGGACUACCCGUGAUAAUGCAAAAUGUGUAUUUUUAUA